AGAAAAAAAAUAACAGAAUCUUUUCUGUGAUUCAUUACCCUCUUCAGGCCCCACAUUGUGUGAUACACUGGGUAUGCUGUUGUUAUGCCGUUGUUGUUGUUGUUGUUGUAAUGUUGGGAAUAUGUGACAUGUGCUACGUUCUUCUACAAGUUAUCAGCCCAAAAAGAAAUGAAGCAAAACUGAGAGUUUGGGAUUUUCUUUAAAGGGUGGUUGCCCCUCUCUGUUCUGCUGUUGAUUUUUCUCUAUUCACAAAAAGCCAACAGCCCUUGUCAUGGAAACAACAGAAACAUGAAGAAUAUAAUCAAACAAUAUUACUCCUCCUAGUACUACUACAUAUUUGCCUUUCCUCUGUGUGUGUGGUGUGUUGUUUUUUUGGCGUUGAUGGAACGUGCAUAAAGAGGCAAUGAUGCUUGUGUCAAGGUAGGCUGCCUACAGUACACCCCUUAGGGAGCGGCGCUUCCCCUGACCCCUGCCUGAAUGCGGGUUGCUUUGUGCACUGGGCUAUCCUUUUUUAUAGAAGGUGCAUAAAGAGGCAAUGAUGAUGAUGAUUCUAUAUCUGCGCUAAUCAAUUACGGCAUGGGGAUUGUAUGACCCGUAUCUUGGCUUGGCAACUUGGUAUAGCCUGUGACUGAGGUUUCUCUCUCACAUGCAAGCAAUGUUUGUAGCCAUGGCAUGGCUGACUUCUUAUUUGCCUUAUCAUAACACACAUCUGAGCCGUUUAACGUUGGCCUCAAACCAUCUUAUUUGUGCAAAUCUUGUUUUUCUUUCUGGGCUAUGUUCAAUUACGGAAUUGAGAAAAUAUCCGAUUUAUAUCUUGGCGGGGUGACCGGUUACGGCUUUAUGUAGCAAACUGGUCUCUGCAGCCAUGGUGAUGUCGCCUUCUCUUAUGCUAUGGUAAGAGACAACAAAUCUGAGCCCUUGCUGUUCUGCCGUUGAUUUCCUCCAUUAUAUAAAAACCAACAGCCCUUGUUUAUGAUAAAAGCAGAAAGAGCAAAAAGGAUUCAAGUUAUAUACACUGACAUCUUGGUCUUUCCUGGUGUGUGUUGUUUUUCGGUGUGGAAAGAAGGUACAUAAAGAGGCAAUGAUGAUGAUGUUUCUAUAUCUAGGCUAACCAAUUCGGGCAUUGAGAUGACCUGACCCGUAUCUUGGCGAGACAUGGCGUGACUGGCUUCUCUUUUGCCUUAUCAUAACACACAUUUGAGCCUCAUUUGCUUGAAAGGGAAAAAGAAAGAAUCUUUUUGAUGAUUCAAUGUUGGGAUAUGUCGGAUGGGCGGCUUUCUGCUGCAAGUUAUAAAUCAUCCGGCACUCCUACUGAAUCACCAUAUUUGCUCAGUAUGAGCUGAGAAUAGCCUAGAAAGAAGGAAGAAUGAGGCAUCAGAGAGAUUGGUUUUUUUUUUUUGUAAAGGGUGGUUGUCCCUCUCUGUUAUGCCUGUGAUUCUCCUCUGGUAACCAAAAAAUACCCAACAGCCCUUUGAAUUAUACAAGAAAAGAAAAAAAAUAAACAGUCAUCAAAACACACCCCUAUAUUCCUCUUCUCUUCUCUUUAUGCUGCUGCUACUUAUACUGUAAAUGGGCUGUGAUGAUUGCUUUCCUUUCUGGCUAUGCUCAAUCAUGGCCUUGAGAAAAUAUGGCGGGGCGGCCUGGUAUGGCUUUUGUAUAGCAAAUUGGUGUUUGCAGCCAUGGUUGGGGUUGCUUUCUUUUUUGCUUUGUCAAAAGAUACAGUAAAUCCGAGCCUCACUUUUUAACCUAAAGGCCCGUGUAAGUCUCGGUUUAAAAAACUUAACUGUCCCGGGAAAUUCGGAGGUGAAAAACCAAGGAAUUUCUCAUAUAAGUUGUUGUCUUUACUCUGUCUGAGAGCCGACCACCCUAGACCUCUCGUGGGUCUGAGAACGAUCCUCUACUGUUCAGUGGCCCAAGGGCCACCAAAGAUAUGCUAAUCACGGUCUGGCUCAUGGCCACAUUUCAUCCACUUAGACUUGGUUUCCUAUCUCCUUAGAACUCAAGGAUACAGCAGUGGUACAAGCCUAUAGAACAAAUGUUGUUCAAGUAAGGUCGACGAGCCUAUAGAACAGAUGCUGUUCAAGUAAGGUCUCAAAAAAAAAAACCCAAAGAAUUGCUCUAGAAAGGACGGUUAGCCCAGAAAGAAAGAGAAAGAAAUGAGGCAAAACAGAGAGUAUUGGGAUUUUCUUUAAGAGGGUGGUUGCCCCGCUCUGUUCACCAUUGAUUUUCCUCCAUUAUUAUAAAACAACAGCCCAUUGUUUGUGGAAACAAGCAGAAGCAUAAACUGAAAAAACAAAAAGGAUUUUAUGUUAUAUACACUGACAUCUCUAUCUUCACUUUGUGUUUGUGUGUGUGUUGUUUAUUCAGUGUGGAUGGUUGUGCGAUUAAGAGGCUGUGAUGAUGACGUUUCUCUAUCUGAGCUUAACCAAUUCGGGCAUGGAGAUGACCCGUAUCGUGGCAUGGCAACCUGGUAUGGCCUGUGACUGAGAUUUCUGUCUCACACAUGCAACCGGUGUUUUGCAGCCAUGGCAUUGCCUUAUCAUAGGGAUUUUUGGAUAUGUUGAACCUGCAAUUUUCUGCUUACAUGGAACAAAGAAAAAGCUCAGAAGGGAGAGAAUGAGGCUACAGAGGCUAUAGGGAUUUUUGGUGAAAGGGUGGUUGCCUCUCUUUGCAUUAGCCUAUGAUUUCUCAAAACAAUCCCAACAGCCCUUUCUUCAAGAAUAUUUUGCAUGGUAUGGCCAGUUUUAGGACUACUAUUUACAUAGGGAGAUUUGCACAAAUAGGAUCACUUGAAUCUUCGAUGCAGUAUGCAUUUUCUUUUCUUCCUUUCGUUUAUGCUUCAGCCGGAGCAUUCAAUGCUGCCGGUGAUUAUAAUCGGCGGCUAAAAAGAGGCUGUGAUGAUUUUGUCAAUUCUUUCAGUUCCUUCUGAGCUUAUCAAUUGGGCAUUUGA